rnacentral:rRNA from 1 species
GAGCUCGAUGAGUAGGGCGGGACACGUGGUAUCCUGUCUGAAUAUGGGGGGACCAUCCUCCAAGGCUAAAUACUCCUGACUGACCGAUAGUGAACCAGUACCGUGAGGGAAAGGCGAAAAGAACCCCGGCGAGGGGAGUGAAAAAGAACCUGAAACCGUGUACGUACAAGCAGUGGGAGCACAGAGCAAUCUGUGUGACUGCGUACCUUUUGUAUAAUGGGUCAGCGACUUAUAUUCUGUAGCAAGGUUAACCGAAUAGGGGAGCCGAAGGGAAACCGAGUCUUAACUGGGCGUUAAGUUGCAGGGUAUAGACCCGAAACCCGGUGAUCUAGCCAUGGGCAGGUUGAAGGUUGGGUAACACUAACUGGAGGACCGAACCGACUAAUGUUGAAAAAUUAGCGGAUGACUUGUGGCUGGGGGUGAAAGGCCAAUCAAACCGGGAGAUAGCUGGUUCUCCCCGAAAGCUAUUUAGGUAGCGCCUCGUGAAUUCAUCUCCGGGGGUAGAGCACUGUUUCGGCAAGGGGGUCAUCCCGACUUACCAACCCGAUGCAAACUGCGAAUACCGGAGAAUGUUAUCACGGGAGACACACGGCGGGUGCUAACGUCCGUCGUGAAGAGGGAAACAACCCAGACCGCCAGCUAAGGUCCCAAAGUCAUGGUUAAGUGGGAAACGAUGUGGGAAGGCCCAGACAGCCAGGAUGUUGGCUUAGAAGCAGCCAUCAUUUAAAGAAAGCGUAAUAGCUCACUGGUCGAGUCGGCCUGCGCGGAAGAUGUAACGGGGCUAAACCAUG